GUGCUUGCUUCAGCAGCACAUAUACUAAAAUUGGAACAAUACAAAGAAGAUUAGCAAGGCCCCUGUGCAAGGAUGAUACACAAAUUCAUAAAGCGUUCUAUAUUAAA
rnacentral:snRNA from 1 species